AUGGUGAAAUGGGGGGCUAUCCGAAGCAGCGGUGGACCAGUCAACUUGAUUGAGGAUGACGGCUAUGGUAAUGUGGAGGAGGACAGAGCUGGAGCAUAUGACUCUGACUCUUCGUGGAACUCAGACGAGGAGAACUUCAUUGAUGUGCCACAAGGUAGCGAAAACCUUGUGCAAUCGACAUGGUGUGCUGACAGCAGAAUUAUAGGAUUCCACCCGCACAAGAAUGCGCUCAUCCUUUUAGUUCACUGGGCAGUGAUGGUGUAUCAUCUUGAUACAUCGAGGAUGCAAUUUUUAGGCUACAGAUGUAAGCUCAUGAAUGCUUCUAUGGAACAUUGA
rnacentral:rRNA from 1 species